CCAUCUGGACGGGGGAUCACUCGGCUCGUCCGUCGAUGAAGAGCGCGGCUAUCCGCGUGAACUGAUGCGAAUUGCAGGACUCAGUGAACAUCAAAGAAAAAUUAAAUAAAAAGGCGGCGAGCUGGCAGAAACGUUAGCACGCCGGGCGAAAUGCUC
rnacentral:rRNA from 1 species